rnacentral:rRNA from 1 species
UUCCGUAGGGUAACCUGCGGAGGGAUCAUUACACAAAUAUGAAGGCGGGCUGGAACCUCUCGGGGUUACAGCCUUGCUGAAUUAUUCACCCUUGUCUUUUGCGUACUUCUUGUUUCCUUGGUGGGUUCGCCCACCACUAGGACAAACAUAAACCUUUUGUAAUUGCAAUCAGCGUCAGUAACAAAUUAAUAAUUACAACUUUCAACAACGGAUCUCUUGGUUCUGGCAUCGAUGAAGAACGCAGCGAAAUGCGAUAAGUAGUGUGAAUUGCAGAAUUCAGUGAAUCAUCGAAUCUUUGAACGCACAUUGCGCCCUUUGGUAUUCCAAAGGGCAUGCCUGUUCGAGCGUCAUUUGUACCCUCAAGCUUUGCUUGGUGUUGGGCGUCUUGUCUCUAGCUUUGCUGGAGACUCGCCUUAAAGUAAUUGGCAGCCGGCCUACUGGUUUCGGAGCGCAGCACAAGUCGCACUCUCUAUCAGCAAAGGUCUAGCAUCCAUUAAGCCUUUUUUUCAACUUUUGACCUCGGAUCAGGUAGGGAUACCCGCUGAACUUAAGCAUAUCAAUAAGGCGGAGGAA